CGGGGGCCGCGCGGGCCGGGAGUUGGGUGGGCUGGGGGACAGGCGCGCCCGCGCCGCCCGCUCCAGCUGGGCUAGUGCUGCACAUUCCGGCCAGCCCCUCCUCAAGACCCCAUUCCCAAGCCCCUUCUCAGCUCCCUCGGGCCGGCAGAGCGGCUCUGAUCAGAGUCUUGCUCAGUCGCCCAGGCUGUAGUGCAGUGGCACGAUCUCAGCUCACUGCAGCCGCCACCUCCCAGGUUCAAGCGAUUCUCCUGCCUCAGCCUCCCGAGUAGCUGAGACUACAGAGCACCAUGGCCUGGCAAGGUCCGACGUUUUCCAAGGAUCCUGGCUGAGCUCCUGUGGAAGCUGCUUCUUACACUGAUGUGGUCCCUCGGCUGGCAGGCCCUUCUGCGGCCAACCAGGUGACACCUGGCAGUUAUGAGGGACAGGUAGGAGAGGAUGGGCUUUCCAUCAAAAAAAGAAAAAAAAAAGGUAAGUUUUUCCAAACUGCUUUUCUUUCAAAUUUUAAUCUUAAGACUAACCUACAUUAAUUUCUUAUUUUUAUCUCAUAAAGUCCAGAAUUUCUGAUAAUUUCAGUUCUUUUCCAGAGUGCAAAGAAGCAUUGGCUCUUCAGGUAUUAUGUUUAACAUUUUGCAGGAAUUGCUUUACUCUAUAGACAAAUAAACUACAAAUUUGAGACUUA
rnacentral:antisense_RNA from 1 species